rnacentral:lncRNA from 1 species
UAGAGAGGAGAUAAACAGUGUUUGUAGGGCACGGAAUUUCCCAACCCCCUCCUGAGAAGCCAAGGCUCCCUUUUAUAGGUGGGGGUCGGUUUACCUGUGAUGUAACAGGGCGAGGCCAUAGUACGGCUCGGCAUGCGGCUCAGGUCGGCGCACGGUCAGGCGAAUCAUUGUGCUGAUGUCGGCGGUGAGGGCGUCGUACGACCCGAACCAGUACGCUACCAGGCGAAUCAUUGCAUUGGUGUCGGAGGUAUGGCCGAGAUCAGAGACUUAUCAUGGUUGACCAGACUCUGCUGGGCUAACUCGCCGUGGAGA